CCAUCGAGAGCAAACACAAGGAGUCACGCCGAAAAAAUCUAGCGAUUUUGCUCGGAAAGAGGUGAGGGUGGAUCCCGUGGAGGCGGAGGAGCCGCUGGGCAAGGAGACGUCCGCCGAGGCUGAUCCCGCGGGGCACUUCAUCUAGGUGCGUAUAUUGUGGUCUAACUUCUUCAUAUAGGUGGUCCUCGACACCUAGCCCAAAGGCACGCGCGACUUGCUCAUCUCCGGCAAGCUGCAAGUCAUCAAGCUUGCCUACAACCUCCGUGACAUCUGCAACACCGACAAGUCCGACAAGCAGGCUUUUACGGCGCCUCGCGCUCUAGCUGCGUGACGACCAGCCCCCAAGGCUCACUUGCAACCUCGUCGUCGUCCAAAAUUUGAGCGUUGUCGCCGGUAACCAAUGUUGUACGCAUAAAGUCUGAAGAAAACCAACCGUUGUGCUCCUUUAACUGGGAUCGUUGGAAGUUGGUGCGGGUGAGCGAUGAAAGCAGAUCGGUGGUGUGGCAGAGAAUCGGUAUCUUAUUGUCUUGAUUGAUUCGGUGGUGUGGCGAGCGAAUCCAGCGGCAAAUAAAUCAAGACAUAACUAUGAUCACGUAGACUAAUCCUAGAGUCGCAUAUAAUUGGUGGUACUAAUAACAAGACGUUCAUUGGUCUCCGAAAAAUAAAGAAGCAGCGAAACAUAUGUGAGUAUUCUUUGCAUCUUUUGAGUACUACAACCUAGCUGGCACACAAUGGAACGCUAGAAACCAUUGUGGGCGGCGGAAAGCCAAGCAUGCUGGAGACUGAUGACUGAAAAGAUUUACGGGCGCUAGCAAUCCUGAUUCCCCUCAUUGGGAGCUGACCGCCACCGACGCCAACAUAUCCCUUCAGUAGAUCAGUGGAAAAGCCUGGGAAGUUCAGAGAGAAAUCAAGGUACAUGUGUGGCUGUGUGUUGCCUACGUACAAUCCUAUAAUUUAGUUUACGCUAAUUGUGCAUAUUGAUAAAUUUCUACAACAAGAUGCAAAAUAAUUGUUGUGUGAACAUGCGCUAGAUAUUUUUGUAAUAAUUUUGUACUACUAAUAAUUUAUCAAAUACUUUUAAGCACUGCAUGAACAUUAACGUUGCUGCUAUUUGUUUGGCCUGCAAGGACUGAAGUCUGUUGUUGUAGUUAGGCUUGGUGAGAAGGGAGGCGUACAUGGCUGAGGCAAUGACGUUGUCGCAUUCGUCUCACCGUAUAUUACCUUCCUCGAGUAGUAGGGAAGCACUAUAAAUACUAUUACCAAUUAUUAAUUUUGGAUAUUUCAGACAUAAUAUUCAGUUUAGAGAGGCGAACGAGGUUGGCGACGAUGCAGUAUCCAAGGAUAUGAUGGCAACCGAGCCGAGGGUUUGUUAUCUGUAUGGGCCUCAGUAUGAACGGCCCAACCGAGCCGAGGGAAAAGAGUCUCAGCCGGGACUCUUCUUCACCUCCUCAUCCUCUGGGCUCGGAGGAAUCCUCCUCCGCAUAUGAUGGCAACUCCUCCGCCCCUCCUUCCAAAAUGGAAUGAUUCAUGUCGUCCCGUGGUCACUUAGUGCAUGGAUGUCCUUUCUGUGCUGGUGGGUGUUCCCAUCGUGAUAAAGACUCUUCAUCAUUAAGCUGUAGACACACUCUGGCGCAGUGUAAGCUCUACCGCCUCCCGUGGCUGAGGAGAGCAAGGACAGAACAAGCAACAGGAGAUCGAGGGAGGAGAUACUUAGUUGAUUUUGCCUCUGGAGAAUGAUUGGAAGAAGAAAAGGUAGGGAAUUUUGUUGGUAGAACUCCGAUGAAGAAACAAGAAGCAUGAAGAUUUUUCUAGCACCUUUCAUGAGAGCGGUUUGGGAAAAUAGAGAAGGAGAGAGAAGAUGCAGUUUUCAUGUGCACGGAAAGCCUGGGGAAUUUUAAGUACUACUAUAAACUGAACAUGAUGUCAUGCAUUCUCUAAUAAACUGAACAUGAAAACCGAAAACAAGUAUAGCGGAAUGUAUUUUUUUAAUAGUAUAAAGCAGAAUGCAAUUAACUCUGUAUAUAUAUGCACUGGGCACUGCACCAUGUUAAGAAUUUUUCUGAUG